GUCAUUCUAACCUAAUGGUUUCGCGGAAGCAAAGCUUAUAAGUUCUCUCUUCUUCUUCUCCGUUCUUCCCACACUCUCUCCGGCUCUCUAGUCCGAAGUCCUCCGAUCGCGGUCUCUGAUCCGACGAGGUACAGCAGCGGAACUGGAUCAGAGCGGAACUGGAUCUCAAAGGAAAAGGCGAACGAGGCCAUGAUCAGAGCGGAACUGGAUCUAAAAAACGGCAGACUGAGAGUCGGAAGAGCGAUUCUGACUGCAGAUCAGACGUGCGCAGAUGAAGACAACGAAGGCAGCGCUCAUCCCGAACCCUAUCACCGUGGUGACAACAUUCAACCGCGAGCCCAUCAUUCUGCUUUCCUCCAACUGCAAUGCUGAAUUGGUUUACUUUGGGCGGCGGCUAACGGAGGAGAAAUGUCGCCGGCUGAAUUCAUUUAUUUUGGAGCGGUUGGUGCCGUCGCCGAGGUGGAUAGUGACAGCGUGGUGGUACAAGGAGGAAGAGAUACUUGAUGUUGCUGGGUUGGAUGCGGUGGUGUUCAUUAGGAUUAUUGUGUUCAGCCAGAGCAUGUGAUUCAUGGUCUAGAACCAGUUGUCGUGGCUGCAAUUUCUACGAUGAAGUAUUGCCGUGAGGCUUUCCACUAAAAGGAAGAUACCCACUUCAGCACAUCUGUGGAGGAAAUGAGAGGUGCAGGUUUUUCUUGUUAUAUGCGCCUGUGAAGAAGUUUUGAGCUGUGUAAACAUCAAAUGAAAAAUUCUUGGGGAAACUGUUAACAAAUGGGAAAUGGCUUAUUAUUUGAUGUCCUGGUUUGAAUCUCUACCCAGACCAUAACCCUGUUAUUGUAUCUGACUGAUUAUUGGUUACUGCAAGUUGCAAUCACUCGUCAAAUCUCAUAUGUUCGAUUUGCUUGGGGGAAUUCCAAGACAAAGAGGUGCUUUGAGUAAUGCCUUCUUGUCAUCAUAAGUUCCAUCUUAUUCGUAUAGAUUUAUGGAUGCAGCAGCACUCAACAUGUCCUAUCUGUCGUUUGCCAUUAAACAAACAUGAAGCGAGAUUAGAAUCUCCCUUUGCAAGUUCACUUCAAGUUCAUGGGGCGGAGUAUACCAAGAAAUUCAUGUAACUCUUUCUACAGUAUUUGGAGAUCCUCAUGCAGAACAUGAGCGUGGUACAUAGUGAAGCUGGGAGAUAUAGAAAUAUUCCAAUUCUAAAGCAGCGUUGAGGAAACGCAAACCCUACACAAACAGGCCUAAUGCUUCAGGAAGAGCGCAGGCUGUUGGGUUGGAAAAAGAAAGCAGCUUUUUUAUUUCUGAAAAAUUAAGGGCAAAAGCACAACUUCAUUAACAUGAAAAGGAGUUACACGAGUAAAAAUUGUUAUAUGUACUAUAUACCAUGUAUUCUGAAUAUAAUAUAAAAUAAAUCCAAUGUAUUUAGAAUAUUUUAGGAACGUCUGAUUAUCUACAAAGUAAGUA